rnacentral:sRNA from 1 species
ACUCAACACUAUAUCUUUAUAAAGGAUGAGUCUUAAUUGGUAAAGCAAGCCGUCUUAGAACGGAUCCUUGAACAAUUAGUUAGUCCUAAACUUGUUUAUAAGGAGUUU